rnacentral:rRNA from 1 species
UGUGUGUUAGUGGAAGCGUCUGGAAAGGCGCGCGAUACAGGGUGACAGCCCCGUACACAAAAAUGCACAUGCUGUGAGCUCGAUGAGUAGGGCGGGACACGUGGUAUCCUGUCUGAAUAUGGGGGGACCAUCCUCCAAGGCUAAAUACUCCUGACUGACCGAUAGUGAACCAGUACCGUGAGGGAAAGGCGAAAAGAACCCCGGCGAGGGGAGUGAAAAAGAACCUGAAACCGUGUACGUACAAGCAGUGGGAGCACGCUUAGGCGUGUGACUGCGUACCUUUUGUAUAAUGGGUCAGCGACUUAUAUUCUGUAGCAAGGUUAACCGAAUAGGGGAGCCGAAGGGAAACCGAGUCUUAACUGGGCGUUAAGUUGCAGGGUAUAGACCCGAAACCCGGUGAUCUAGCCAUGGGCAGGUUGAAGGUUGGGUAACACUAACUGGAGGACCGAACCGACUAAUGUUGAAAAAUUAGCGGAUGACUUGUGGCUGGGGGUGAAAGGCCAAUCAAACCGGGAGAUAGCUGGUUCUCCCCGAAAGCUAUUUAGGUAGCGCCUCGUGAAUUCAUCUCCGGGGGUAGAGCACUGUUUCGGCAAGGGGGUCAUCCCGACUUACCAACCCGAUGCAAACUGCGAAUACCGGAGAAUGUUAUCACGGGAGACACACGGCGGGUGCUAACGUCCGUCGUGAAGAGGGAAACAACCCAGACCGCCAGCUAAGGUCCCAAAGUCAUGGUUAAGUGGGAAACGAUGUGGGAAGGCCCAGACAGCCAGGAUGUUGGCUUAGAAGCAGCCAUCAUUUAAAGAAAGCGUAAUAGCUCACUGGUCGAGUCGGCCUGCGCGGAAGAUGUAACGGGGCUAAACCAUGCACCGAAGCUGCGGCAGCGACGCUUAUGCGUUGUUGGGUAGGGGAGCGUUCUGUAAGCCUGUGAAGGUGUGCUGUGAGGCAUGCUGGAGGUAUCAGAAGUGCGAAUGCUGACAUAAGUAACGAUAAAGCGGGUGAAAAGCCCGCUCGCCGGAAGACCAAGGGUUCCUGUCCAACGUUAAUCGGGGCAGGGUGAGUCGACCCCUAAGGCGAGGCCGAAAGGCGUAGUCGAUGGGAAACAGGUUAAUAUUCCUGUACUUGGUGUUACUGCGAAGGGGGGACGGAGAAGGCUAUGUUGGCCGGGCGACGGUUGUCCCGGUUUAAGCGUGUAGGCUGGUUUUCCAGGCAAAUCCGGAAAAUCAAGGCUGAGGCGUGAUGACGAGGCACUACGGUGCUGAAGCAACAAAUGCCCUGCUUCCAGGAAAAGCCUCUAAGCAUCAGGUAACAUCAAAUCGUACCCCAAACCGACACAGGUGGUCAGGUAGAGAAUACCAAGGCGCUUGAGAGAACUCGGGUGAAGGAACUAGGCAAAAUGGUGCCGUAACUUCGGGAGAAGGCACGCUGAUAUGUAGGUGAAGUCCCUCGCGGAUGGAGCUGAAAUCAGUCGAAGAUACCAGCUGGCUGCAACUGUUUAUUAAAAACACAGCACUGUGCAAACACGAAAGUGGACGUAUACGGUGUGACGCCUGCCCGGUGCCGGAAGGUUAAUUGAUGGGGUCAGCGCAAGCGAAGCUCUUGAUCGAAGCCCCGGUAAACGGCGGCCGUAACUAUAACGGUCCUAAGGUAGCGAAAUUCCUUGUCGGGUAAGUUCCGACCUGCACGAAUGGCGUAAUGAUGGCCAGGCUGUCUCCACCCGAGACUCAGUGAAAUUGAACUCGCUGUGAAGAUGCAGUGUACCCGCGGCAAGACGGAAAGACCCCGUGAACCUUUACUAUAGCUUGACACUGAACAUUGAGCCUUGAUGUGUAGGAUAGGUGGGAGGCUUAGAAGUGUGGACGCCAGUCUGCAUGGAGCCGACCUUGAAAUACCACCCUUUAAUGUUUGAUGUUCUAACGUUGACCCGUAAUCCGGGUUGCGGACAGUGUCUGGUGGGUAGUUUGACUGGGGCGGUCUCCUCCUAAAGAGUAACGGAGGAGCACGAAGGUUGGCUAAUCCUGGUCGGACAUCAGGAGGUUAGUGCAAUGGCAUAAGCCAGCUUGACUGCGAGCGUGACGGCGCGAGCAGGUGCGAAAGCAGGUCAUAGUGAUCCGGUGGUUCUGAAUGGAAGGGCCAUCGCUCAACGGAUAAAAGGUACUCCGGGGAUAACAGGCUGAUACCGCCCAAGAGUUCAUAUCGACGGCGGUGUUUGGCACCUCGAUGUCGGCUCAUCACAUCCUGGGGCUGAAGUAGGUCCCAAGGGUAUGGCUGUUCGCCAUUUAAAGUGGUACGCGAGCUGGGUUUAGAACGUCGUGAGACAGUUCGGUCCCUAUCUGCCGUGGGCGCUGGAGAACUGAGGGGGGCUGCUCCUAGUACGAGAGGACCGGAGUGGACGCAUCACUGGUGUUCGGGUUGUCAUGCCAAUGGCACUGCCCGGUAGCUAAAUGCGGAAGAGAUAAGUGCUGAAAGCAUCUAAGCACGAAACUUGCCCCGAGAUGAGUUCUCCCUGACCCUUUAAGGGUCCUGAAGGAACGUUGAAGACGACGACGUUGAUAGGCCGGGUGUGUAAGCGCAGCGAUGCGUUGAGCUAACCGGUACUAAUGAACCGUGAGGCUUAACCUUACAACGCCGAAGCUGUU